ACGAACGCUGGCGGCAGGCCUAACACAUGCAAGUCGAACGCCCUCUUUCGGGAGGGAGUGGCGCACGGGUGAGUAACGCGUGGGAAUCUGCCCUUUGGUUCGGAAUAACCCUGGGAAACUAGGGCUAACACCGGAUAAGCCCCGCGAGGGGGAAAGUUUACGCCGAAGGAGGAGCCCGCGUCCGAUUAGCUAGUUGGUGAGGUAAGAGCUCACCAAGGCUACGAUCGGUAGCUGGUCUGAGAGGACGAUCAGCCACACUGGGACUGAGACACGGCCCAGACUCCUACGGGAGGCAGCAGUGGGGAAUAUUGGACAAUGGGCGCAAGCCUGAUCCAGCCAUGCCGCGUGAGUGAUGAAGGCCUUCGGGUUGUAAAGCUCUUUUGGCGGGGACGAUGAUGACGGUACCCGCAGAAUAAGCCCCGGCAAACUUCGU
rnacentral:rRNA from 1 species